rnacentral:rRNA from 1 species
GGUGAACGCUGGCGGCGUGCCUAAUACAUGCAAGUCGAACGCUUCACUUCGGUGAAGAGUGGCGAACGGGUGAGUAAUACAUAAGUAACCUGGCAUCUACAGGGGGAUAACUGAUGGAAACGUCAGCUAAGACCGCAUAGGUGUAGAGAUCGCAUGAACUCUAUAUGAAAAGUGCUACGGGACUGGUAGAUGAUGGACUUAUGGCGCAUUAGCUGGUUGGUAGGGUAACGGCCUACCAAGGCGACGAUGCGUAGCCGACCUGAGAGGGUGACCGGCCACACUGGGACUGAGACACGGCCCAGACUCCUACGGGAGGCAGCAGUAGGGAAUUUUCGGCAAUGGGGGAAACCCUGACCGAGCAACGCCGCGUGAAGGAAGAAGUAAUUCGUUAUGUAAACUUCUGUCAUAGAGGAAGGACGGUGGAUAUAGGGAAUGAUAUCCAAGUGACGGUACUCUAUAAGAAAGCCACGGCU